AGCAGUCGCCGCGGUAAUACAGAGUGUGCGAGCGUUAAUCGGAUUUACUGGGCGUAAAGCGUGCGUAGGCGGCUUCUUAAGUCGGAUGUGAAAUCCCUGAGCUUAACUUAGGAAUUGCAUUCGAUACUGGGAAGCUAGAGUAUGGGAGAGGAUGGUAGAAUUCCAGGUGUAGCGGUGAAAUGCGUAGAGAUCUGGAGGAAUACCGAUGGCGAAGGCAGCCAUCUGGCCUAAUACUGACGCUGAGGUACGAAAGCAUGGGGAGCAAACAGGAUUAGAUACCCCCGUAGUCCCUGUCUCUUAUAC
rnacentral:rRNA from 1 species